rnacentral:rRNA from 1 species
UACGAAGGGGGCUAGCGUUGCUCGGAAUCACUGGGCGUAAAGCGCACGUAGGCGGCUUUCUAAGUCAGGGGUGAAAUCCUGGAGCUCAACUCCAGAACUGCCUUUGAUACUGGAGAGCUUGAGUCCGGAAGAGGUGAGUGGAACUCCGAGUGUAGAGGUGAAAUUCGUAGAUAUUCGGAAGAACACCAGUGGCGAAGGCGGCUCACUGGUCCGGUACUGACGCUGAGGUGCGGAAGCGUGGGGAGCAAACAGG